AUGAUAUUUUUGAUGUUUAUGGGACACUUGAUGAACUCACUAUUUUUACAGAAAUUGUUAACAGAUGGGAUCAUGCGGCUAUUGAUCAACUGCCAGACUACAUGAAGAUAUGUUUUAAGGUUCUUGAUGAUAUCACUAAUGAAAUCAGCUACAAGGUGUACAAGGAGCAUGGCUUUAACCCUGUGCACUCACUAAGGAAAGCGUGGUCCAGUUUGUGCAACGCAUUUCUU